rnacentral:lncRNA from 1 species
AUAACACUGUGAGGUUGUGAUGCACCAAGUCUCAGAGGAAGAAGACCAGUUUUUGGAAAGAGUUCAGGAAACCGGGGACUUGAGCAUCGUCCUUACAAAUGGUACAUUUUCCACAGUUUGCUGUUUCUCUUGGCUAUUCUCAGUGAAUUCUGACUCACCCACGAGUCCUUGGGAGUGAAAGGUGAUGCCAUUUGUCCACUAGGGGGAGACUUGCCCACAGUAUCCCCUUGCUUUAGCUAAGAACUGGGACUUGAUUACAGCCACAGCUCAUUGACCUUGUUUCCUUCCCUAAGCAAGGAGUUUGGUUUGAUUAACAAAAUUCACUAUUUAAAAUUUCAACUCUCAUUAAAAGAGGCGAUGAGGAC